UACGGGGGGAGCAAGCGUUGUUCGGAUUUACUGGGCGUAAAGGGCGCGUAGGCGGUCAGCACAAGUCAGUUGUGAAAUCUCCGGGCUUAACUCGGAAAGGUCAACUGAUACUGUGCGACUAGAGUGCAGAAGGGGCAACUGGAAUUCUCGGUGUAGCGGUGAAAUGCGUAGAUAUCGAGAGGAACACCUGCGGCGAAGGCGGCCUUCUGGACAGUGACUGACGCUGAGACGCGAAAGCGUGGGGGAGCAAACAGG
rnacentral:rRNA from 1 species